ensembl:lncRNA novel transcript
UACGAGACCAGUGAAGCAGAGAGCCAAUUCUUGUCGGACUGGAGACCCACAGUCCAGGUGAAUUUACCUAAGAGAGGCUUGCAAGUGCUGUCCUCAGUGCCCUUGCCUGGGUGUAAAAUAGCAGAGACCGAAUCCAGGACUGGGUGUGAAAACUGCUGAUUGGUCGCAAAGCCUGAAACAAAUACUGCCUUAGAAGUGAGCGGUACUGUGAUUCUUCUGUUAAAAUGCCCGUUCAUGCUUUACCUAUAUUCUGUGCAAAACUAAAAAAAAAAAAAUUAUACUGGAGAAGUACUUUUUGAAGCAGAACAGAAGCAGAUACCAACAAAUAAAUAUUUGAUGCAUAA